GAAGAACGAGGUUAAAUGACGUUCUUUUGUUCACCAAAUGAAAAGUACCGGCAUAAAAUAUAACUUGAUAGUUGUACAUUUUGUGUGUAGAUUCUUUAUAAUGAUUUUACAUCAUUGCCAGUCAUUGAAAUAACAAAACAUUACUCAUUAGUGUUAGGGUUGUGUUUUUAAAUAUUAAUGAUCUCUUGGGGUUAGGCCUAGGCCCCCUGAAAGAUGAGUUCACACAAUAUCAGGAUAGCUCUAAACGGGACAUGAUGCCAGUAAAAUGAGAAAAUAGAGUGGAAGUCCAAAGUUUGUUUUGCUCCCUAUUCAAUAGAGAACAAAGUUAACAUUAGCGAUGGAGAUAAAAGGAAUCUCUAAAACAAUAAUUCUUAUCAAAAUCCAACAAUCUCUAUUCAAAAUAUUAAUCUAAGCAGUAACAUGACAACUAUUUGAACCAAAGAGUGAAGGUCACGUGAGGACAGUUUUCAACACUAGAGUUACAGUACUAGUCCUUGGUGGAAUCAAGGAGUCAUUAAAGAAUCAUUCUGGAAGAUCAAAUCAAUACAAGCACUGAACAGCAGACAGGAAUGGAAAAUAUGGCCAACAGAUCUUGUGUGGUGCCCCAAUGGUCAAACAACUAAGGGAUAGAUAAUGAUGCAGAGAAUUUCCUGGUGAUCAAGAAUUAGGAGCUGCACACAGUUUAAUGAAACCAUAUUUUAGGAACAGAUAGAAAACAACUGCAGCAAAGAUGGCCUGUUUUUAUUCUUCUUCAUGGCAAGUAGAUUUUUUAAAGCAUUAUGAUAUAGUUUCCCUUUCAGACCUUGUGGUCCAAAGGGCAAAUGAUGUAAAGUCAUCUCUGUUUCUGUGGCCUACGUUAUGGUAUAGCUAUUUUAAAUAGAACUUUCUAUCUUUGAAUGAAGGCAUAAUAAAAAAAAAUAGGCAACAUAAGAAAUUAGAUAGAGCCGCAUCUGUGCUUUACAUUCUGACUCUGUUCUGGGCUAUUCCCCAUCCAUUUCCAUCCUGCCAACUUUCCUUCUUGGUCUGCAGGUUUGAUCUAUGUUUGUGUCACAGAUUCCUUAUUAUAUUUAUAAUAAUAACUCUAUAGAAUCUACCUUAGUUCUCGAUACGUCUAGGUGUCCCUGGUUCAGUUCUAGUUAACGAAAUAAAACAAUGAAAGCACUAGAUCAAACACAUAAACUUUAAUCAGCUUUACUGCAUAUCACACAUGCUGGUCUCUGUCUAACAACCAACACACUUACGGUCAUUCGCGCAGAUUGUAAAAAUAGAUUAUACAUACAUACACACAUUCAUCAGUGACAGUUUGCAUGGGUCUACCAGACUUUUUCUUCCUCUCUGUGUUCCAGUCCAGUCUUGCAAUGUUGUCUGCUGUUCUUCACAUUGUGUGCCCAAUGCAUCCCCAUGUGCCUCAUUUGAUUUCUUGUUCUAUCUCUGUUUACUUUUUUGUUUCCCAUAGGCUGUAGUUUGAUAUUUUGGCUCAAUGAAUAAGAUUUAUACCGUAAUAAUUUCAGUAUUCUUCUCAAAAAGUUGGCUGAUUGUUAUCGCAGAUAAUCCCAAACUAACUUAUUUUAUCAUCAAUAUCAUCAGCCAGAUGCUCCUGUGUAUAUGAAGACUACUCCAAGUUAGCCACCCUUCCAAAUCAGUCAAUAUUCUUGGCCCCAAUAUGUGUACUCCUCAAAAGUUCUAUAUGAAAUAAUUUGUUUUUAAAACAAAGCUAGACAUAAAAUUUCAGUUGUGAUUGAUUUCAGCCCACCGACACAAGGGACAUACUUUUAGACUUAGAUCCUCCCCCUCUGGCACAUUGGGUAGCAAGCUGUCUCCAAAAAGAUCUGUCAUUGGCAGAAGCCUCUUCCCUCAUACUUAUAGAAAUAUAAAAAUAUGCUGACUUCUAGAAAAGAGAAAAAUGGAAAGACAAACUAAACUUUGACAAUGUAUUUAAAAAAACAAUGUUGAACCAGCUAAUAGUUUAUGAUGAGAAAUGUCAUCAGCCAGCCACCUUGGCAUCAGUACCAAGAUUGACUGCUAUCCAAAAAACUGCCAAACCAAAUGUUAGGCACUAUCAUCUUUGUCUUGUAGAUGGCAUUCAAAGAGGAUGCAGUUUUUAAAGUUUCAUAAGGGUAGCUGACAAAACAUUAAUGGGGAAGUGGACUCAAGAUAUGGAUACCAUCAUUUAUAUUUUUUUUAACUUCUGCAUUAUACUUUUUAUAUUUUGCAUUUUAAAAUGUAAUUUUUG